UACGUAGGGACCAAGCGUUGUCCGGAAUCAUUGGGCGUAAAGAGCGUGUAGGCGGCUUGUUAAGUCUUGCGUGAAAUCUCGGGGCUCAACCCCGAGCGGUCGUGAGAAACUGGCAGGCUAGAGUGCGGGAGAGGAGAGUGGAAUUCCUGGUGUAGCGGUGAAAUGCGCAGAUAUCAGGAGGAACACCGAUGGCGAAGGCAGGUCUCUGGGCAUUAACUGACGCUGAGGAGCGAAAGCAUGGGGAGCGAACAGG
rnacentral:rRNA from 1 species